UUUUUUUUAAAUAAUUUGUAUACCUUCUAUGAUAAAAUCUAUUUGUGCAUCGUAGAUAAUGUCUUCUGCUUUUAAUAAUUUUAAGACCGCUUUGCAUCCUUUUUUGUGGGGGAUGAUGGUGUAUAAUGAUUGAACAUCGAAUGUUACUAAAAUAUACUCUGUUUGCCAUGUGUAAAAAGCAAAGGAGGGUCACGGAGUCUUUGAGAUAUGAUUACAUUUUUUUGACUGAGGGUUGUAGAAUGAUAUCUACGUAUUCUGAGAGAUUGGAUAAGGCAGAAUUUAUACCGGAAACUAUGGGUCUACCUGGGGUAUUUUGUUCGCUUUUGGUAGAAAAUAGAUGACAGAGAUUUUGGGGUAAGGUACACUUAUAU